rnacentral:lncRNA from 1 species
UGAUUGAGAAAAGAAUUGGACUUAAGAGUACAGUUUUACAGCUCUUCGACACAAUAUAACUGUACAGAUGUCUCAUGUGCACCCUGUUCCUUACGCGUUAGAGAUCUGUUUCAUGGCUUUUUCGACACAUUUCUUGAAUGUUUGGACUGUGUAUCGAGAACAGUUUUACAGCUCUUCGACACAUUUCUUCAUUGAAUGUGAAAAGAAUUGGAUUUAAGAGUACAGUUUUACAGCUCUUCGACACAAUAUAACAGUACAGAUGUCUCAUGUGCACCCUGUUCCUUACGCGUUAGAGAUCUGUUUCAUGGCUUUUUCGACACACAUAGCAUGGACAUAUGUCAAGUGUUUUAGCUUACAAAUAACAGUACAACCUGUGUCAGCGAGGAAUUCUUUAACGACACAAGAGCCCGGCAGACCCUAAAUAGCGAGUCAAUCCUUUAUGCUUAUCACUCACUACAUGGGAAAAUGGAAAGUGAAAAACAAAUGGGACAUUAACUACAGAUUUACUGAUGAAUUCAUUGAGAAGGUCCAGAGGGAUAUAUUUGCCUGGCUCGCCACGAAGAUUAGCGGUGCUGUUCCAUAUAAGGUUCUGAGCUAUACGUUCUGGCAUCCAUCCAUUCACGGCUGCAAAUGUAUAAAUGCGUCACGUUCUACCAGAUGGAGAAGACCUCGCCACAGUGUUGCCAUUGCAUAAGCCUGUUUGUGGUCGAUGUUAUGCGAAGUACGACAAACCUCGGAACAAAACCAGGAGCCUACGCAGGAGUACUGCCGCUCUUCUUCAAUUUCUGCCAUGUAAUUCUCAAUGGUUGGCCACACAAACCGAACAAUUUCUCUGGCUAGAGCUUCCACAUCUUCUGUAGAGUUCAAUACAUCAGACAGUUGGUCAGUUUCCCUCAGCAAAAUUACACGCUUAUGGAAAUUCUGAGGCCUAGGAAUUAAUCCCUCCAGCCUGUCAGAUGGUUCUCGGGAGGAAGACAUUGCCAUUUUACCAUCAAUCAUACGCUCAACUGACAGUUGGUCACCAUGGCAGAUGAUAGGCCAUACUUUUCCGGAAUCAGACUGUGGAACGUAGCGAUGCAGAAACUUCAUUAUUUGAAUCACACCUUGGCAAGUCGAGGGAUUCUCUUUCAGAACACCAAGGUUAACCUUAAGAAAAGACUCUGCAUAAUAUUGAUGAUGAAUAUGGUCACCUAUGGUUACAUCUAGUUCAAACACUUUCACCAAUGUGCGUUGUACCAGUUUCUCCAUUCUGCACUGCAGUUCAUACCACUCAUUGUCUCCAGAAGUUAAAUUCAAUACCACUGGUUUCUGGUAUGGAUAUGUCUGGUAGGGGUUGGAAGUCUUCAUCUCCUUCAGAGUGUAAGAAAGUGUCUUCCAUGGCAACAGAGAUGUUAUGGACUUCAUCUUCACUGCUGCUCUCAUCUUGGGUUAGAUCAUCCUCGCUUACAGAUGACCACUCUUCCUCUUCACUCAGUGGUGUAUCAGGAAUGGGUUGGGGCUGACCUCCUAGAACAUGCUGAAAGAUAAAUUAGAAAGUAGUAGUCAUGCAAGUACAUGUAUUCCUCCGUCAUCAACCGCUGUUUGUCUGCCAACACAUCUACUUACUUUGUGGUUACAACCGGAGCGAAACAUCUGGAUAGAGAGUAUCUGCUGUAUGAACUUGAACCUUGUUGGGAAACACUGAUGUAGGAUAAUACCUAGUAGAAGUCCGUAUGCAGAUGUCAAUGCUGACUUUAUGGCUACAGAUACAAGUGGCAGUCCACUGUCCAGCUCUGCAAGAAGACUAUCCCAGUUGAACUUUUCUAUAGUCUCUAAAGUGAGUUCUUGUCUGAAGGUGGACAGUCGUUUUGAGAAGGUCUUCACUUCAUCUCGAAUGAUGGAUUCCACAACCUUGUAGAAAUCUUUUCUAGCC